AACAGGAUUAGAUACCCUGGUAGUCCACGCUGUAAACGAUGUCGACUUGGAGGUUGUGCCCUUGAGGCGUGGCUUCCGGAGCUAACGCGUUAAGUCGACCGCCUGGGGAGUACGGCCGCAAGGUUAAAACUCAAAUGAAUUGACGGGGGCCCGCACAAGCGGUGGAGCAUGUGGUUUAAUUCGAUGCAACGCGAAGAACCUUACCUACUCUUGACAUCCAGAGAAUUUGCUAGAGAUAGCUUAGUGCCUUCGGGAACUCUGAGACAGGUGCUGCAUGGCUGUCGUCAGCUCGUGUUGUGAAAUGUUGGGUUAAGUCCCGCAACGAGCGCAACCCUUAUCCUUUGUUGCCAGCACGUAAUGGUGGGAACUCAAAGGAGACUGCCGGUGAUAAACCGGAGGAAGGUGGGGAUGACGUCAAGUCAUCAUGGCCCUUACGAGUAGGGCUACACACGUGCUACAAUGGCAUAUACAAAGAGAAGCGAACUCGCGAGAGCAAGCGGACCUCAUAAAGUAUGUCGUAGUCCGGAUUGGAGUCUGCAACUCGACUCCAUGAAGUCGGAAUCGCUAGUAAUCGUAGAUCAGAAUGCUACGGUGAAUACGUUCCCGGGCCUUGUACACACCGCCCGUCACACCAUGGGAGUGGGUUGCAAAAGAAGUAGGUAGCUCAACCUUCGGGAGGGCGCUUACCACUUUGUGAUUCAUGACUGGGGUGAAGUCGUAACAAGGUAACC
rnacentral:rRNA from 1 species